rnacentral:rRNA from 1 species
CACGUAGGGCGCAAGCGUUGUCCGGAAUUAUUGGGCGUAAAGAGCUCGUAGGCGGUUCUGUUGCGUCCGCUGUGAAAACCCGGGGCUUAACCCCUGGCUUGCAGUGGAUACGGACAGACUAGAGGUAGGUAGGGGAGAAUGGAAUUCCCGGUGUAGCGGUGAAAUGCGCAGAUAUCGGGAGGAACACCGGUGGCGAAGGCGGUUCUC